rnacentral:rRNA from 9 species
AAAUUGAAGAGUUUGAUCAUGGCUCAGAUUGAACGCUGGCGGCAGGCCUAACACAUGCAAGUCGAACGGUAACAGGAAGCAGCUUGCUGCUUCGCUGACGAGUGGCGGACGGGUGAGUAAUGUCUGGGAAACUGCCUGAUGGAGGGGGAUAACUACUGGAAACGGUGGCUAAUACCGCAUAACGUCGCAAGACCAAAGAGGGGGACCUUCGGGCCUCUUGCCAUCAGAUGUGCCCAGAUGGGAUUAGCUAGUUGGUGAGGUAACGGCUCACCAAGGCGACGAUCCCUAGCUGGUCUGAGAGGAUGACCAGCCACACUGGAACUGAGACACGGUCCAGACUCCUACGGGAGGCAGCAGUGGGGAAUAUUGCACAAUGGGCGCAAGCCUGAUGCAGCCAUGCCGCGUGUAUGAAGAAGGCCUUCGGGUUGUAAAGUACUUUCAGCGGGGAGGAAGGUGUUGUGGUUAAUAACCACAGCAAUUGACGUUACCCGCAGAAGAAGCACCGGCUAACUCCGUGCCAGCAGCCGCGGUAAUACGGAGGGUGCAAGCGUUAAUCGGAAUUACUGGGCGUAAAGCGCACGCAGGCGGUCUGUCAAGUCGGAUGUGAAAUCCCCGGGCUCAACCUGGGAACUGCAUUCGAAACUGGCAGGCUUGAGUCUUGUAGAGGGGGGUAGAAUUCCAGGUGUAGCGGUGAAAUGCGUAGAGAUCUGGAGGAAUACCGGUGGCGAAGGCGGCCCCCUGGACAAAGACUGACGCUCAGGUGCGAAAGCGUGGGGAGCAAACAGGAUUAGAUACCCUGGUAGUCCACGCCGUAAACGAUGUCUACUUGGAGGUUGUGCCCUUGAGGCGUGGCUUCCGGAGCUAACGCGUUAAGUAGACCGCCUGGGGAGUACGGCCGCAAGGUUAAAACUCAAAUGAAUUGACGGGGGCCCGCACAAGCGGUGGAGCAUGUGGUUUAAUUCGAUGCAACGCGAAGAACCUUACCUGGUCUUGACAUCCACAGAACUUUCCAGAGAUGGAUUGGUGCCUUCGGGAACUGUGAGACAGGUGCUGCAUGGCUGUCGUCAGCUCGUGUUGUGAAAUGUUGGGUUAAGUCCCGCAACGAGCGCAACCCUUAUCCUUUGUUGCCAGCGAUUAGGUCGGGAACUCAAAGGAGACUGCCAGUGAUAAACUGGAGGAAGGUGGGGAUGACGUCAAGUCAUCAUGGCCCUUACGACCAGGGCUACACACGUGCUACAAUGGCGCAUACAAAGAGAAGCGACCUCGCGAGAGCAAGCGGACCUCAUAAAGUGCGUCGUAGUCCGGAUUGGAGUCUGCAACUCGACUCCAUGAAGUCGGAAUCGCUAGUAAUCGUGGAUCAGAAUGCCACGGUGAAUACGUUCCCGGGCCUUGUACACACCGCCCGUCACACCAUGGGAGUGGGUUGCAAAAGAAGUAGGUAGCUUAACCUUCGGGAGGGCGCUUACCACUUUGUGAUUCAUGACUGGGGUGAAGUCGUAACAAGGUAACCGUAGGGGAACCUGCGGUUGGAUCACCUCCUUACCUUAAAGAAGC